rnacentral:sRNA from 1 species
AGGCAGCCUCCUUGAUUGCAAAUGCCAUUUUUCUGGCCUUCAGGGUUCAUAUCACCGAACGUAUCCGAUGACAUACUUUAGUUCCUGUUGGGCGUUUGGAUUGGUUCGUCCCUUCUACUGCCAGCAUGGCACUGCUGGUGAUUGAGCUCUUUUGCCCCAUUGGCCUAACAGUUCCCUCUUUAUUCUAGCAUUGCUCACAAAAAUGUAAUGUGGUUGGUGACGUAGGCAGGUUGGAGGAUCUGCUGUUACGCACUGGUGAACAAAAGUCGUUCGAUUCUCCGGCCCUCUGCUGGGGCGCUUGGUGACAGUGGACGUGGUAGGUGUCAUCUCGCUGGUGCCGGCGUCACCAUUGAACUGGAUGUUGUUUACGCCUCGGUAACCCGGUGAAUAUGGUGGUCAGAUACUUUCUCUGUCAGAACAUUGCCAAGCAAGUUGAGGAGAGUAAGAUCUGUGCUCUCACAAUUACAAUGAAAAGAAGUGAUCCUAUGACAGCUCUUGCAUUCAUGGGCGAGAAUUCUGAUUGUUGGUUGUUCUGGGCAGUGUUGGAUUGAUAGCCAUCAUUGAAUGUGCUGCCUUCUGCAGUCUCACUGGGCAUCUGGGUGGCUUCAUAUCUGAAACUAUGUAUUCAAGAUUGUUGAAUUUCUAAAUUCCUUUAUUUAUGGUCUUUGAUAUGCUAAUUUCUUGCUAGACCCUAAUAAUAAUAAGUCCCUCCCAUCAGGAGUGAAUGUGUAAAUACAUUUGUUCAAUAUGUACAUCUCCUCUCAUCAGUGGCUAUUGAAGCACAUGAACAUGCAUGUUUGUGCAUGCAAAGAGAAGUGAGCACAUCCAAAGCAUCCCAAGAUUGCAACAUCCCAGGGUUCCUUUUGCCCUGAAUACCACCC